rnacentral:rRNA from 2 species
AAGUCGAACGGUAACAGGAAGCAGCUUGCUGCUUUGCUGACGAGUGGCGGACGGGUGAGUAAUGUCUGGGAAACUGCCUGAUGGAGGGGGAUAACUACUGGAAACGGUGGCUAAUACCGCAUAACGUCGCAAGACCAAAGAGGGGGACCUUCGGGCCUCUUGCCAUCAGAUGUGCCCAGAUGGGAUUAGCUUGUUGGUGAGGUAACGGCUCACCAAGGCGACGAUCCCUAGCUGGUCUGAGAGGAUGACCAGCCACACUGGAACUGAGACACGGUCCAGACUCCUACGGGAGGCAGCAGUGGGGAAUAUUGCACAAUGGGCGCAAGCCUGAUGCAGCCAUGCCGCGUGUAUGAAGAAGGCCUUCGGGUUGUAAAGUACUUUCAGCGGGGAGGAAGGUGUUGUGGUUAAUAACCGCAG